rnacentral:lncRNA from 1 species
AGUAGUCCCACUGCGUGGUUUGAGCUCCAGCCUCGCGCUGGGCCGCUUGAGGGAGCGGAGCGGCGGGCGCUGAGCCGGGAGCCCUCUCGGCUUUGCGGGCCUUCUCCCGAGGGGCUCCUCUGGGGGAGGCGAGAGGGCCGCUCUGAGGCGGGAGCGGAGGGAUCCGAGCAGGCGGAGUUGUAAGGCGGCGGGCGCGUGCGGGACGCGCGGCGGCUGCGCGGGCUGAGGGGACCCGGCUGAGGGGACGCGGCCGCCCCCGGGACCCCGGCCCUGCGCCAGAGCCGCCGCCGGCAGGUUUCCACAUUCAGUUCCCCGUCCCUGGGGGAGUGAGUCUCUUGUGUCGAGGUGGUAAAAAGAAGCCCCGGCCCUGGGGCUGAAGACACCGGGGCCACGUGCCUUGCGAGGCGCCAUUCAUUCCCGUCCUCUGGAAAACCAGCGCGAGAGUGGAAAGGAGGAAGGGCAGGGCAAAUAUAAAUAAAAGAGCUCCUGCUCUCUAGAGUAGCGUCCUU